GUCUACGGCAAUGCUACCCUGAACAAGCCCGAUCCCUUCUGAUCUCCGAAGCUACGCAGGGUCAGGGCUGGUUAAUACUUGGAUGGGAGACCACCUAAAAAGACCAGGUGCUGCAGGCA
ensembl:rRNA 5S_rRNA 5S ribosomal RNA